GAUCUUCUUCUUCUUCUUCUUCAUAUAAGGAAUAUAAGAACUAAUUAUUUAUUGCAGUUUACUGAUGAUUAAUACAAUUUGAAGAACAUAAUUAAAAGAAUGAUAGAAAAAAAGCUAGACGAAGCCAUAAUACAACAAAACAUGUGUGUGUGUGUGUAUAUAUAUAUAUGCAUGAUUCGUUGAAGGUGCAUAGCAAAUUAAGAAAUUAAUUGGUGAUGUAAUUAAUUGCGGGGACGGGUAUUUUCUGGGUUGGACGUUCCAGUGGCAACCUUUGCAACAUCCAUGGCUGAUGCUUCGGACUUCUUAUUGGAGUACAAGACGAAAUAACCUAACACAGAGAUUGCUACAAAGCCCCCAAUGGCCAUUUUCAUGGGACACUGAGGCAUUUUCUUACGUUGGUGAAGUACAUCUGUCGAAUGUUGCUGAGGUGCAGAAGAAACCUCUUUCAUUUUUGCUUCAGCUUUUUCCAUAUUUACUCUUCCUCCUCCAACCAUUUUCCUUUUCUUUCUAAUUAACUUCCUCUCUAUGUUUUAUCUUCUUCAAUGUUUCCUUGUGUGUGAGUUAUAUAUCUAUAUUCUUAUGACUCUGACUCUUUGCAAAUCUAUGUUAUAU
rnacentral:lncRNA from 1 species